CAUCAACAAUCGUGCAGGGUGGUGCCUAAAAGGUAAUUGUGUGAUAUCACUGGUUGGUUGUCUCAGGUCUUAGUGUUUACACUUGUGUGAUAGUGUGGUGAAAAGGACCAUCCCAACAGAGUAUUGAUAAGCAGAAAAACCA